AUGGAACACAAACCCAACCCAGCAGUGCUUACCGCUACCACUACCGAGGCCGCAAGCAGCAGCGACGUCGGGAGCAGCGUGAGCAGUGGCGGCCGGAAGGGGAAGGCGGCGGGCAAGGGCGGGCCGGAGAACGCCAAGUUCAGGUACCGUGGCGUGCGGCAGCGGAGCUGGGGCAAGUGGGUGGCGGAGAUCCGGGAGCCCCGCAAGCGCUCGCGCAAGUGGCUCGGCACCUUCGCCACUGCCGAGGAUGCCGCGCGCGCCUACGACCGCGCGGCGCUGCUCCUCUACGGCCCACGUGCCCACCUCAACCUCACCGCGCCGCCGCCCCUGGCCCCCGGGGCGGACCCCCACCCCCGGCCCUUGGGGUCCUCGGCUUCUUCCUCGAGCUCCUCCGCGCCCCCGCCGCUCCGGCCGCUCUUGCCGCGCCCGCCGCAGAACUCAGGUGGCGCCGGGGCGGUCUUCCAACACCACCACCACCAAUACCGCUUCCUGCCGCUCCGUGUGACGCCACCGUCGACGUCGCCGCCUCUGUACUACGCGAGCACAGCCACCGCGUCCACGGUGACCACCACGGUGGCGCCGCCUCACGAGACGACUGCCCCGUUGCCAGUGGCUUCGUCAUCUACGAUGGCCGCCCAGGAUGGUGCUCCGGCGGGGGCGGCAGAGGCUGAGGUGACCCCCGAAUGGUACCUUGCCGCCGAGGAGGAGGACUACGAGGCCGCGCUGCUGUGGAAUGAACCUGAUCCCUUGUUCGACAUCUUCUCCAAGUGA
rnacentral:rRNA from 1 species